CUAUUAUUCCUUAUUUUAAAAAAUUUAUUACUUAAGUAGUAUAAAUAUAAAUGGUAUAUUUAGUUUAUAUAUGUGUUUGAAACUUAAAAGGCUUGGCGGUGUUAUACAUCCUUCCAGGGGAGUUUGCUUACUAAUUUGAUAAUCCUCAAUUUAUACUUACUUUUUUUGAAAUAACAGUUUGUGUAUUGCUGUCGUCAGUUUAUUUUGUAAAAAUUUUGGAAAAAACUUAAUAACGUAAUGGUUGUUAUGUCAAGUCAAAAUGCAGCUAAUGAAAAAGGUUUAAAGUGAGCUACAAUUUAUAAUUUUUAAUCAGAUUAGUUUAUGUAAUUGAAUUAUGAAGAUGGACUUGGUAGUAAUAAAAACAAAUUUAAAUAGUGGGUUUUUAUGAAUUAGGUUUUAUAAUGCGU
rnacentral:rRNA from 1 species